CUACGGAGGUAGCAAGCGUUAUUCGGAAUCACUGGGCGUAAAGGACGCGUAGGCGGGUUUGUAAGUCAGGUGUGAAAUCCUACAGCUCAACUGUAGAACUGCACUUGAAACUACAGACCUAGAGUAUGGAAGGGGCAGAUGGAAUUAGUGGUGUAGGGGUAAAAUCCGUAGAUAUCACUAGGAAUACCGAAAGCGAAGGCGAUCUGCUGGGACAUUACUGACGCUGAGGCGUGAAAGCGUGGGGAGCAAACAGGAUUAGAAACCCCAGUAGUCC
rnacentral:rRNA from 1 species